AUGGCCAAAACUUCAACUGGUUCUGAAAGGUUCCGUAUCCAGAUUGAAGAGCAAGCUCGUGCUACAGCAGCCACCCAGGAGCGAAACUCUCAGCUCAGCCAGCAGGUGCCUAUGAAGAGGGUUGACAAAGAAAAUAGUAAUCCAAACUUGCAAAAUAUUCUUUUACAGAGAUCUAGUCCUAAUAAGACUCCAGGUUCAAGGCCAACUGAUAUUUCUUCAAAUGCGCUCAUACAAGCUGCAACAAGGCAAUCUCGAAUGUUUAAAGCAAUGAAGCUUUUAGUAGAUGUACGAUCGGACGAUGGCACCAUUUUGUAUGCACGAGCAGGAUGUCAUGAGCAUCCGCGUGAUGCCUUUGCUGAUGAGUCCACUGCAAUGUCCCAUGCAGUAUCUAUUGGCGCUGAUAUGGGGGUCGUGAGGGUCAUUUUUUAA
rnacentral:rRNA from 1 species